CAAAGACUUACUGACAUUCAGAACUUGUGACGAACUACAAUGUCUCAAAGACAAAAUUUACGCCAACAUGGUGAAUAUGAUGAAGAGCCACAAUUCACUGAUAUACUGGAUAGCAAAUAUUUCCACCAUGGAGAUGACGAAAAUGAAUCGGAUACACCUAGCGAACAGUAGCAGAACAAUGGCAUAAAUGAAAUCGAUGAGGCCAUAAAACCGUCAAAAGCGCAAGAUACAUCAUCUGCAUUUGAGAUGAUUGACACGUAUGACAGAUCUGCAGGUGCCAAAGCAGAAGGUGGUUACGCUAAGCAAGGCACAUAUGAAACCGGUUUUGAAAACAAAUCAGGACAGAGGAUUCCCAAGAAGGGAUACCUUGCAGAAGCAGGAUACGGACGAGCUCGCGCUGAAUACAGUAUAUUUGAGGCAGAAGCCAAAGGCCCAAACGCUUCAUUUGGUGCUGAAGCCAGUGUGGCUAAACUCGGAGCAGUGGCUCGAGCCGAAAUUGCCAGUGCAUCAGCUAAAGCCGGUCCAGUUGGUGUGAAAGUGGGACUUGGAUUUGACACGGGUGCAUCUGUUGGUUUGAGUGGGGUGGAGGCCAAAGUCCUGGGAAUCGGAUUCUCAAUUGGUCCAAAAAUCGGAAUUUCUUUUCUGGGUUCAGAACUGUCAUUUUCACUCUUUUAGCCACAGCAGGUAUCUUGUUACCUUUGAAUAUUUAUGUGUGACAUUUUACUAUGUCUAAAUUUAUCCUAAACAACUCACACUUGGGUGUCUAAUUUGCUAAUAUAUCUUACACAUAUUAAGUUUUGUUUCUCUAAUUUGUCGGCCUCUCUAUUAUUAC